rnacentral:rRNA from 1 species
UACGGAGGGUGCGAGCGUUGUCCGGAAUCACUGGGCGUAAAGGGCGCGUAGGUGGCGCGGGCAGUCAACGGUGAAAGUUCGGGGCUCAACCCUGAAUCGGCCGUCGAUACUCCCGUGCUUGAGCACUGUAGAGGCAGAUGGAAUUCCGGGUGUAGCGGUGGAAUGCGUAGAGAUCCGGAAGAACACCGGUGGCGAAGGCGGGUCUCUGGGCAGUAACUGACGCUGAGGAGCGAAAGCGUGGGGAGCGAACAGG